CAGGAUCAUGGUGGCACAGGAAGGGAUGGCUGGAUAGUAGAAUGCAUCCUCCACAUCUUCAGGAAAGGACAGAGAUACCUCAACAGGAGAAGUUGGGCAGAGACAGGCAAGUGCUGCCUCCAUUUCCAGCCUCAUGAUGGUUCCUGGGCCAUAGCAAAGCCUGAUGGCCACUACAAUGCUGAUGUCAAACUGGUCAGUGGGUUCAGUGGAAGGUUUGGCUACCGCGGGAACACCCCAGCUCUCCGUCGGAGCACGUCUGUCUUUGGAGAGGUCACCCACUUCCCUCUGU
rnacentral:lncRNA from 1 species